CCUCGCCUCGAUGACGUGGCCUUGCCUCGAUGACGUAUCACCGGCCUUUCUUUUUUUCCCUCUCUGUUUGCCGGCGCGGUCGGUGUGCGGCGCCUCAGUUCGGAUCAGCUCAUUCCACGUGAGAGAGAACUUGGCGCGGGUAUCAUAUUCCCGGCGGGCGUUCUUUUGUUUCGCUUGUGAAACCACGGAAUACAACGAUGAGCGAGCCUCCUCAACGACAGAAGGUGAUCGAAAAGUACCUCCAAGGGUUACAUCACCAUGAAGACGGCUACUCCCAUGGCUACCUGAAGUCAGACGAUGAGCUUAAGCUUUUUGAGAGGUCCUUGGCUGCCGUCUACGAGAGGUAUGCUGUGCGGACAUCAAGAGACCUGAACAGGCCGUCUUAAUCCAAUGUCAUCUUCUCCAUGGUCCACUCCAGGUGCAGAAUCUCUCUGGACAAUGUGCCGUUUCGAGUUGUGAAAGAAACCGUCAAAGUCUGCAUAUUUGGAACGGAAUACUACAAGAAUACUCCAGAGAAAAAAAACAGGUAUGGUUCAAGCACCACUGACUGGCCGAAGGAGGUGUACGAGAAAAAGCGAAUGAAUCUCCAAGGCACAAAGAAGAAAGGGUGUGCAACAACAAUGAAUUUGAACGCAUGCGACAACGGCGAGCAGAGGAGGCGGCGUUGCGGGCAGAGCAGCGUCAACGUGGCAAUGGCGGGAACGCGUUCGCUAACGACGUCACUAACGGCGCUGCCAAUGGCGCGCGCGCGCUUGGGUGCGACGUAGAGAAUGACGUAACUGACGGCGCAGCCAAUGGAGACGUUUAGCGAAACAUAGGACGAA